rnacentral:rRNA from 1 species
GAUGAACGCUGGCGGCGUGCCUAAUACAUGCAAGUCGAGCGAACAGAUAAGGAGCUUGCUCCUUUGACGUUAGCGGCGGACGGGUGAGUAACACGUGGGUAACCUACCUAUAAGACUGGAAUAACUCCGGGAAACCGGGGCUAAUGCCGGAUAACAUUUAGAACCGCAUGGUUCUAAAGUGAAAGAUGGUUUUGCUAUCACUUAUAGAUGGACCCGCGCCGUAUUAGCUAGUUGGUAAGGUAACGGCUUACCAAGGCAACGAUACGUAGCCGACCUGAGGGGGUGAUCGGCCACACUGGAACUGAGACACGGUCCAGACUCCUACGGGAGGCAGCAGUAGGGAAUCUUCCGCAAUGGGCGAAAGCCUGACGGAGCAACGCCGCGUGAGUGAUGAAGGUCUUCGGAUCGUAAAACUCUGUUAUUAGGGAAGAACAAAUGUGUAAGUAACUGUGCACGUCUUGACGGUACCUAAUCAGAAAGCCACGGCUAACUACGUG